GAUGAACGCUGGCGGCGUGCUUAACACAUGCAAGUCGAACGGAAAGGCCCUGCUAUUGUGGGGUGCUCGAGUGGCGAACGGGUGAGUAACACGUGAGUAACCUGCCCUUGACUUUGGGAUCACUUCAGGAAACUGGGGCUAAUACCGGAUAGGAGCUCCUGCUGCAUGGUGGGGGUUGGAAAGUUUCGGCGGUUGGGGACGGACUCGCGGCUUAUCAGCUUGUUGGUGGGGUAGUGACUUACCAAGGCGUUGACGGGUAGCCGGCCUGAGAGGGUGACCGGCCACAUUGGGGCUGAGAUACGACGCAGACUCCUACGGGAGGCAGCAGUGGGGAGUAUUGCACAAUAGGGGGAAGCCUGCUGCAGCAACGCCGCGUGCGGGAUGACGGCCUUCGGGGUGUAAACCGCUUUCGCCUGUGACGAAGCGUGAGUGACGGUAAUGGGUAAAGAAGCACCGGCUAACUACGUG
rnacentral:rRNA from 1 species